GAUGAACGCUGGCGGCGUGCUUAAUACAUGCAAGUCGAACGGACCGAGCCUAGCAGGAAGCUUGUGGAGAGUAGGGAGUAGGAGAAAUCUUGCGAGCUACAGGAAGCGAGUGGGCGGCUAGAAUCGGUUAGUGGCGAACGGGUGAGUAACACGUGGGUGACCUACCCUAAAGUGGGGAAUAACCGCUCGAAAGGGCAGCUAAUUCCGCAUGGGGUCCGGCAUUCGGUUGUCGGAUCAAAGGCGCAAGCCGCUUUAGGAGGGGCCCGCGGCCGAUUAGCUAGUUGGUGGGGUAAAGGCCUACCAAGGCAAAGAUCGGUAGCUGGUCUGAGAGGAUGAUCAGCCACACUGGCACUGAGACACGGGCCAGACUCCUACGGGAGGCAGCAGUAAGGGAUAUUGGACAAUGGGGGAAACCCUGAUCCAGCAACGCCGCGUGGGCGAUGAAGGUCUUCGGAUCGUAAAGCCCUUUUCUGCGGGAAGAGGAAGGACGGUACCGCAGGAAUAAGUCUCGGCUAACUACGUG
rnacentral:rRNA from 1 species